CUGCCCUACGGGGCGCAGCAGUAGGGAAUUUUCGUCAAUGGGCGCAAGCCUGAACGAGCAAUGCCGCGUGAACGAGGAAGGUCUUCGGAUCGUAAAGUUCUGUUGAAGGGGAAAAAGAGCGGAGAGAGGAAAUGAACUCCGAUUGAAAUUACCCUUCGAGGAAGUCACGGCUAACUACGUGCCAGCAGCCGCGGUAAUACGUAGGUGGCGAGCGUUAUCCGGAAUGAUUGGGCGUAACGGGUGCGUAGGCGGCCUGCUAAGUCU
rnacentral:rRNA from 1 species